GCUCAGGAUGAACGCUAGCGACAGGCUUAACACAUGCAAGUCGAGGGGCAGCAUGUCGGAACCUUCGGGUUCUGAUGAUGGCGACCGGCGCAAGGGUGCGUAACGCGUGAGCAACUUGCCCGUUUCUGGGGAAUAACCGUUGGAAACGACGACUAAUACCCCAUGGUAUUGAGUUAAGGCAUCUUAACUCAAUUAAAGAACUUCGGAAACGGAUAGGCUCGCGUGACAUUAGAUGGAUGGCGGGGUAACGGCCCACCAUGUCGACGAUGUCUAGGGGUUCUGAGAGGAAGGUCCCCCACACUGGUACUGAGACACGGACCAGACUCCUACGGGAGGCAGCAGUGAGGAAUAUUGGUCAAUGGGCGGAAGCCUGAACCAGCCAAGUAGCGUGAAGGAUUACUGCCCUACGGGUUUUAAACUUCUUUUAUGCGAGAGUAAUAUGCGCCACGUGUGGUGUAUUGCAAGUAUCGCAUGAAUAAGCAUCGGCUAACUCCGUGCCAGCAGCCGCGGUAAUACGGAGGAUGCGAGCGUUAUCCGGAUUUAUUGGGUUUAAAGGGAGCGUAGGCGGGCUAUUAAGUCAGUCGUCAAAGCCUGUGGCUCAACCACAGCCCGCGAUUGAUACUGGUAACCUUGAGUGCGGAUGAGGUGGAUGGAAUUCGUGGUGUAGCGGUGAAAUGCUUAGAUAUCACGAAGAACUCCGAUUGCGAAGGCAGUCCACUGGGCCGCAACUGACGCUGAAGCUCGAAAGUGCGGGUAUCAAACAGGAUUAGAUACCCUGGUAGUCCGCACCGUAAACGAUGGACACUCGCUGCCGGCGAUAUACAGUCGGUGGCCUCGCGAAAGCCUUAAGUGUCCCACCUGGGGAGUACGCCGGCAACGGUGAAACUCAAAGGAAUUGACGGGGGCCCGCACAAGCGGAGGAACAUGUGGUUUAAUUCGAUGAUACGCGAGGAACCUUACCCGGGCUUGAACUAUGGUGGACCGUUCCAGAGAUGGAUCUUCCCUUCGGGGCCGCCAUGGAGGUGCUGCAUGGUUGUCGUCAGCUCGUGCCGUGAGGUGUCGGCUUAAGUGCCAUAACGAGCGCAACCCUUUCCGUCAGUUGCCAUCAGGUAAUGCUGGGGACUCUGUCGGUACUGCCAUCGUAAGAUGCGAGGAAGGUGGGGAUGACGUCAAAUCAGCACGGCCCUUACGUCCGGGGCUACACACGUGUUACAAUGGGGGGUACAGAGGGCUGCCACUCGGCGACGAGGAGCCAAUCCCGAAAACCUCUCUCAGUUCGGACUGGAGUCUGCAACCCGACUCCACGAAGCUGGAUUCGAUAGUAAUCGCGCAUCAGCCAUGGCGCGGUGAAUAC
rnacentral:rRNA from 1 species